rnacentral:piRNA from 1 species
UGAAGCCAUACGUGUACCACAAAGAGUGUGA